rnacentral:misc_RNA from 1 species
GAACGCACAUUGCGCCCCUUGGUAUUCCAUGGGGCAUGCCUGUUCGAGCGUCAUUUGUACCCUCAAGCUCUGCUUGGUGUUGGGUGUUUGUCCACUCCCUGGUGUUUGGACUCGCCUUAAAGCAAUUGGCAGCCAGUGUUUUGGUAUUGAAGCGCAGCACAUUUUGCGAUUCUAGCCUGAAAUACUAGCAUCCAGCAAGUCAUUUUCACUUUUGACCUCGGAUCAGGUAGGGAUACCCGCUGAACUUAA